rnacentral:rRNA from 1 species
UACGUAGGUGGCAAGCGUUGUCCGGAUUUACUGGGCGUAAAGCGCGCGCAGGCGGAUUGGUCAGUCUGGGGUGAAAUCUCACGGCUCAACUGUGAGCGGUCCCUGGAUACUGCCAGUCUUGAGAGAUCUAGAGGAGAGCGGAAUUCCCGGUGUAGUGGUGGAAUGCGUAGAUAUCGGGAAGAACGCCAGUGGCGAAAGCGGCUCUCUGGGGAUUUUCUGACGCUGAGGCGCGAAAGCGUGGGGAGCGAACCGG